rnacentral:rRNA from 1 species
ACACGGACCAAGGAGUGCAACAUGCGUGCGAGUCUUUGGGUGGCAAACCCGUCGGCGCAAUGAAAGUGAAGGCAGGCGUCUUGGCCUGCUGUGGCGAGAGCCCUUUCUCUCCUCGUGGGAGUGCGGGCGCAUCGUCGACCGAUCCCGAGCCACGCUGUGGCGGGAUUUGAGUGAGAGCGUGCCUGUUGCGACCCGAAAGAUGGUGAACUAUGCCUGAAUAGGGUGAAGCCAGAAGAAAUUCUGGUGGAAGCUCGUAGCGAUUCUGACGUGCAAAUCGAUCGUCAAAUUUGGGUAUAGGGGCGAAAGACUAAUCGAACCGUCUAGUAGCUGGUUCCCUCCGAAGUUUCCCUCAGGAUAGCUGGAGCCCGUUGGCAGUUUUAUCAGGUAAAGCGAAUGAUUAGAGGUCUUGGGGCUGAAACGGCCUCAACCUAUUCUCAAACUUUAAAUGGGUAAGAAGCUCGGCUUGCUUAAUUGAAGUCGGGCGCAGAAUGCCGGGGCUCCCAGUGGGCCAUUUUUGGUAAGCAGAACUGGCGAUGUGGGAUGAACCGAAAGUCGGGUUAAGGUGCCGGAAUCGACGCUCAUCAGAUCCCAUGAAAGGUGUUGGUUGAUACAGACAGCAGGACGGUGGCCAUGGAAGUCGGAAUCCGCUAAGGAGUGUGUAACAACU